AACAAAGAGAAUGGACUAGGUUCAGUUUCUUCAUGUGCAUCAACUGUUCUCCAAGUUUCAGUCAACUACAGCUGUGCAACUGAAGGCAGUGGAGAUGCCCAAAUGUGUCCCUGAGUGAAAUUCUGAGAGCAGCUGAAACAGUACAGUGCUCGGAUAAAGAAAAGAGCAACCCAUGCCAGUGAUUUUCUUCAACAUACCACCAGAAAGACAUAUAUGAGGAUUGCACAGAUCACCUUACCUCCCACAUAACAUCGGUGUGGCAGCCACUACAAUUGUCUAAUGUGGAUAAUAAACGAUAGAGAAGA